UACGUAGGGGGCAAGCGUUGUCCGGAUUUAUUGGGCGUAAAGAGCGUGUAGGCGGUCCGGUAAGUCCGCUGUGAAAGUCCAGGGCUCAACCCUGGGAUGCCGGUGGAUACUGUCGGGCUAGAGUACGGAAGAGGCGAGUGGAAUUCCCGGUGUAGCGGUGAAAUGCGCAGAUAUCGGGAGGAACACCAAUUGCGAAGGCAGCUCGCUGGGACGUUACUGACGCUGAGACGCGAAAGCGUGGGGAGCAAACAGG
rnacentral:rRNA from 1 species